ACCUCAACGUCUCACGGGAACCCCCAAGCAGGUUUCAAGGAGGAACUGAGGCUCACAGAGCUCCCAGGCGACCACAGACCUACCACUAGGGCGCUUUGUCGCUACGCUAGACGUUAAAUAAGCUCAGUAUGAGAUUGCAGGAUGAGGCAACUGAAACCUAGAGAGAGAAAGCGACUUGGACUGCAUCACACAGAAACAAUCCUCCAGUCCAGCCAUCUCCUGACCAUGAAAUUUCAGCCCAUGUUUUUUAACCACAGAAGACAGACUGCAAGCAUGUGCAUAUAUCAGUGCAAAAGGAUCCCUAAGACUAAGGUUCCAACUUAAGGACAGGUGAGGGGACAACACAUUUUUGUCUCCGAGGGAAAGCCCACUGUUCCAGUCUUCCUAGAGUGCUGGGGCUGUUUAAAAGAAUGCUUGCCUAGGGAGAAUGAUUUGAAUGAUGACAGAAAUCAAUAAAUUCUUACUGAAUAUAGUCCAACCUCACUUACUCAAACUAAUGGAGGUAGCCCUUCAAGUUAGCAAACCAUUUGUAUUGUAGGUUACUUGUAAAGAAAUGAAGCUUUGUUGCUUUGAAUAAUUCACAGUUGCUCCAAGUAGGCUAACAAAUUGUAGCCUAAUCAAGAUUUGCCUUAAUGAAAAAAAAAAAGAAUCUCCAGCAUCAAUCAAUUUUAUGCAAAUGGUGCUUCCAAAGGAGUGACAAAAUUUGCUGCCUAGAGUAUGGAAAUUCUGUGAGUGCAAGGAGUCCAUUUAUGCGAUGGCUUUUUCUGCCAAAAGUGGGCUAAGUAGGGCCAGGUAGGACCCAAGCCUACUUGUGGUACUCAUGAGUGUCUUCUGAGUUAGGUUUUACUGAAAAAGGAAACGAUCAGAGAGUGACCUUAGAUGUAGCAGGUGCAAUCUGUCUACUGAUGGAAUAAAAGAUGGUUUUGGAA